rnacentral:rRNA from 1 species
CUACGGAGGGUGCAAGCGUUACUCGGAAUCACUGGGCGUAAAGCGCGCGCAGGCGGGCUGAUAAGUUGGAUGUGAAAGCCUACGGCUCAACCGUAGAACUGCAUCCAAAACUGUCAGUCUAGAGUGUCGGAGAGGAAGAUGGAAUUAGUUGUGUAGGGGUAAAAUCCGUAGAGAUAACUAGGAAUACCAAAAGCGAAGGCAAUCUUCUGGAACACUACUGACGCUGAGGCGCGAAGGCGUGGGGAGCAAACAGGAUUAGAAACCCUAGUAGUCC